rnacentral:pre_miRNA from 13 species
UGAGCUGUUGGAUUCGGGGCCGUAACACUGUCUGAGAGGUCUACAUUUCUCACAGUGAACCGGUCUCUUUUUCAGCUGCUUC